GACGAACGCUGGCGGCGUGCCUAACACAUGCAAGUGGAGCGACGAACCAGGGCUUGCCCUGGAGCAAAGCCGCGAACGGGUGAGUAACACGUGGGUAACCUGCCCCGAUGAUUGGGACAACCCGAGGAAACUCGGGCUAAUACCGAAUGUGCCCUGCCGGCCCAAGCCGGCGUGGGGAAAGGAAGCUUCGGCCUCCGCAUCGGGAGGGGCCCGCGGCCCAUUAGCUAGUUGGUGUGGUAAAGGCUCACAAAGGCAACGAUGGGUAGCUGGUCUGAGAGGACGAUCAGCCACACUGGGACUGAGACACGGCCCAGACUCCUACGGGAGGCAGCAGUGGGGAAUCUUGCGCAAUGCGCGAAAGCGGGACGCAGCAACGCCGCGUGGGGGAAGAAGGCCUUCGGGUUGUAAACCCCUUUCAGGAGGGACGAAGGUGCGGCGGCGAAUAGCCGACCGCACUGACGGUACCUCCAGAAGAAGCCCCGGCUAACUACGUGCCAGCCGCCGCAGUAA
rnacentral:rRNA from 1 species